GGAUGAGAUAGACGAAAGUCUGAUGGAGCAACGCCGCGUGCAGGAUGAAGGCCUUCGGGUUGUAAACUGCUUUUAUCUGUGAAGAUUAUGACGGUAGCAGAUGAAUAAGGAUCGGCUAACUCCGUGCCAGCAGCCGCGGUCAUACGGAGGAUCCAAGCGUUAUCCGGAAUUACUGGGCGUAAAGAGUUGCGUAGGCGGCAUAGUAAGCAGAGUGUGAAAUCGUGUGGCUCAACCAUACACACAUGCUCUG
rnacentral:rRNA from 1 species